rnacentral:tRNA from 1 species
GGUGGGAUGGCCGAGAGGCGAGGCAGCGGCCUGCAAAGCCGUAUACACGGGUUCGAAUCCCGUUCCCACCUC